rfam:Rhodnius prolixus Rhodnius_prolixus-3.0.3-541.7, whole genome shotgun sequence.
GCCAACGGCCAUACCAUGUUGAAUACACCGGUUCUCGUCCGAUCACCGAAGUUAAGCAACAUCGGGCGUGGUUAGUACCUGGAUGGGUGACCGCCUGGGAACACCCCGUGCUGCUGGCA